rnacentral:rRNA from 1 species
CAGUCGCCGCGGGAAUACGAAGGGGGCUAGCGUUGCUCGGAAUUACUGGGCGUAAAGGGCGCGUAGGCGGACAGUUCAGUCGGGGGUGAAAGCCCGGGGCUCAACCUCGGAAUUGCCUUCGAUACUGGCUGUCUUGAGUAUGAGAGAGGUGUGUGGAACUCCGAGUGUAGAGGUGAAAUUCGUAGAUAUUCGGAAGAACACCAGUGGCGAAGGCGACACACUGGCUCAUUACUGACGCUGAGGCGCGAAAGCGUGGGGAGCAAACAGGAUUAGAUACCCCAGUAGUCCCUGUCUCUUAUAA